AACGAACGCUGGCGGCGCGUCUUAAGCAUGCAAGUCGAACGGCAAGAUUGGUGCUUGCACCGAUCCUAGAGUGGCGGACUGGUGAGUAACGCGUGGGUGACGUACCCUAAGGAUGGGGAUAGCUGGUAGAAAUAUCAGAUAAUACCGAAUAUCCUUAUUGUUGUUAGAGGACAGUAAGGAAAGGAGCUUUGGCUUCGCCUAAGGAUCGGCCCGCGUACUAUUCGCUAGUUGGUGAGGUAACGGCUCACCAAGGCGACGAUAGUUAUCCGGCCUAAGAGGGUGAACGGACACAUUGGGACUGAGAUACGGCCCAGACUCCUACGGGAGGCAGCAGCUAAGAAUAUUCCGCAAUGGAGGAAACUCUGACGGAGCGACGCCGCGUGGAUGAUGAAGGCCGGAAGGUUGUAAAAUCCUUUUAAGCAAGAAGAAUAAACUUUACAGGGAAUGGUAGAGUGGUGACGGUAUUGCUUGAAUAAGCAACGGCUAAUUACGUGCCAGCAGCCGCGGUAAUAC
rnacentral:rRNA from 1 species